GGUCCGGAUCUCCCGGGAAGUCUCGCCGGAGUCAGGCAGGCCUUAGGAAGAAGCUGCCUGAUGUGCAGGGUUUCAUAGGCCGUCAGAGGGGGCAUCCUGGAGGAGCCCUGGCAUCAGGAAAGUGAGCCCCCCAUGGCAGCCCGCAGGAAUGAACCAGUGCUCAGCCAGAAAGGGAAAACAGAGCCGAGUUUGGCCACUGGGGCCUCCACAGCCCUCUGGAAGAAGGGGCUGACUGAUAGGAAGGCACUCCUCUGGUGUUCACUGGCCAGACCCCCGUGGGCUCAGAAGACUACUUAGACCCCAUGAAGAAAGACUCUAGACACAUUUUUAUAAUCAGAAACUUACAGUUUAUUGUGAAUAAACCACUCAACUUUGAGCAGAUGACAUUGCCUCAAUUAACUUUUUCGUUGAAGAAAAACAAAGAUAUAUGGUAAAUUCAUGAAAAUACUGUGUCCUUUCUCUUCCACCCUUUGUAGGGCAGAAAAAUUCUGCCUGACCUUUCCCAUCUUCCUGAUGAUGUUAACAAACGACAGCCACUGAGGGCACAGGAGGGGGCUCUACACAGGCCAAGAGCUACAGGCUACAGUCUGAGCACAGAAAACCCUCCAGCUCCAGCAUCCAGGGCCACAGCUGGACACAAGUACAGAACCUGGCAGCCCUGCAGCCCAGACAAUGCCCAGGGUGUGAUUUAGGGUGCAGAGCUGCAACUCAGAUCCUGUGCCAUGGCAGUAUCACAGGAAGGACUUGACGGAGAGGUGAAGGCUCCAGACGCCAGGAUAUUUAUUCCCUGUGCCAAUACAGCAUUCACACCUGACCUCCAGGUCCUGCAGCAGGUACUCUCCUCAUUCACAGUUAGCUCCCCACUGUUCCAUUCUGGGUUCAUUUGCUAUACUCCUAAUCUGUUCUCCCAAUCCACCCCACAGUCUCUCCCUUGCUGGGGACAACACAGGAAGAGACAAAACCUGAGGAAGGAAAAAGGGAACCUGCAACCAGCCAUGGACCUCAUGAUCCCAUGAGUCACAGCUAUCCUCUGUCUUUAAGAAUGACUGUUUUAUAGCUUACAUGGUACCUGGGAAAUUGCUGACUUGCAGCUGAAAUGUAUGAAUACCAAAGAAUUUCUAUCACAAUAUUCACAGAUCUCUGUAUCAGCUCUACUUGGAGGUCAAGCAGGCUUGGGAGAGUACAGACUGCUCUGCCUGCCCUAGAGUGGAAGCAUUGAACAAAGCCACAAAAACCCCAGAGAUCACAGAUCUAACUUUUCAAUGGCCCACAGGACCAGGUUCAGGACAGGUAGGACACCAGGCAAACCACUUGUUCCCUCGCGCUUCAUUGUGCAAAAGCUGGUCUGUUCCUCUGGCCAGACCCUCCUUAGUACAGGAUCUCGGACCACAAACCAAGGAGUCCCGUGGCCUUGGAUUCCCAGACCCUAGGAUGGUAUCCCUCUGACAGCUGGAACCAGGCAAGGGGGAACACACCUCAGCCUCAGAGCAGCCUCUGGACACUCUCCAGGUAACAUGAAAAUAACUUGUGCAAACACAGCCCCCAUGCCAGAAAGUCCAGUGCCCUAGGGAGGGCUAUCCUGAAUUCUGACCCUGAUGUUUGCCAAAGGAGAGUGCAGCAAGACAGUGUCAGGUUUGGCCAAAUGUGACCCUGCUCCAGAGCUAUACCACUUGAAUACUGGCACAAAAGAAAGGACCAAGGUAAAGCAAAUUUAUCUGGGAGGAACAAUUCCCUUCAAAAGUAGAUCCCUAUCUUUAGGAGACAAAAGGAAACACUGUGAUGAACCCACACCCCCUAGUUUGGGGGGCCACAGGCCCAACCCCAUUCUGCUGUGGGCUCUAGCCUCAGUAGCCAGAUCCAGGUAAACCUCAGUUUCAAGAAUAAAGGUGAGCCACAGACAUGCAGCACCACCAGAGACAACAACGCCCCGUGGCAAGAAGACCAUGUUCUGGACUGUCUCCGUACUGCCACGGUAAGGCAGGAGGCAUGCUGUGACCCCUUGUGCUCCAUGCCCAUUGCACAGGCCAGUUCAAUUCCCUACCAUCUGCCACCCAUGCUCUUCUUUGGGACUACAACUCUGGCCAAACGUGAAUAUGGAAAGCAGAGGCCCAGGGCCCUCUUGCAGUACAGACAUUUUGAGGUGGGUAGGCAGCAUAUGUUACAUUCUAAGUAAAACAGCUAGAGGGUAAAACACUCCAAUGCCAAUUUAUUUUCAAAAAGGGCUCUGUGUUAUCCUAUAGUUUGCCUUUUUUUUUUUUUUUGUAUAAUUGUACAACCUUUGAAAGUUACAUAAGUUGUAAUGAUCUAAUACUAUUAAUAGCCAUUCAGAAAACACUUUCCCUCCCUCCCAACAACCAUCCAGGGGGAAAUAAAAGUCCUGAAAAGAGGCCAGUUCAACAUGGCCUCUACCCUGGUAGAAACAAAAAGUGAAAAGAGAAGAAAACAGAAAUCAACUAAGAGGUGUUGCCAGUGUCUCUCAGGAGUGGGGCCCUGGCUGUUGCCUGGGGUCAUGAAAGGCAGAGCCUGCAGCAUGCAGUAUGGCAGCCGGGAGACCUUGCAGCCACAUCUUCCUCACCCCGGCACAUCCACAUCCCAACUUAGGUGUCAUGGAAAUCUUUCAGCAGGGUUCUCCUCCGCUGCUCCGCUAUAUGCAUCUGGUUCUCCAAGUCCUGCAUCAGAGAAACAAGGUGUGUGCUUGCAUGGCCCAGUCCUGGGAGCAAGGAGUAGCCAAAGCCACAAACACCCUCCAGGACCUCCAAGGAGUCAAAAACACUGCCCUUCCCAUUCUUAGCAGCAGCUUCCAGUGCACAAGCCAACAACGCUGUCACCUAUUACCAUGCCAGUCCUCUACCUGCAAUAUAGAAUCCAAGAGGACAGUGGGCACUUACCCCUCUGUCAUAGCUGUCUGCACGCUCCACUUUCCAUGAGAGGUUUUCGAUCUCAGCCUCCAGCUGAGCCUGCUGGUAUUCAAACUGUAUAGGCAGAGCAGGAGGGUCAAAAGGUGAGUGGGCUGUGGCUGGGGCAGGGCCUGUACACGGGGGUGGGCACAUGCAGCACCUCAGGCUCACAGGAACUACAGACAAUCCUGAUACUGUCCUCAGAAAGUAGUGUUAUUCCCUGUGCCCAGAGCCAGAAUCCAAGCAAAAGGCUAUCCAAACAGCAAGGCCACACUCACCCUCCACCCUCAAAAGGUCCACUCCACCCUCCACACUCCCAAAGGCAGGCAAAGAAUUUAAGCCACUAAAGAGAACACUCCCAACAUGAAAGGGAAUGGAUGCUGUAAAAAAUAAGUCAAAUGAAUAUUCUCAGACACUAUCACUUCAUUUUUUUCAGUCCUCCAGCAAAUCAAG
rnacentral:lncRNA from 1 species